GAUGAACGCUGGCGGCGUGCCUAACACAUGCAAGUCGUGCGGCAGCAUGCCCUUCGGGGUGAUGGCGAGCGGCGGACGGCUGAGUAACGCGUAGGAACGUGCCCCAAAGUGAGGGAUAACUGCCCGAAAGGGUAGCUAAUACCGCAUAUGAUCUUCGGAUUAAAGCUUUAUGCGCUUUGGGAGCGGCCUGCGUCCGAUUAGCUAGUUGGUGAGGUAAUGGCUCACCAAGGCGACGAUCGGUAGCUGGUCUGAGAGGAUGAUCAGCCAGACUGGAAAUGAGACACGGGCCAGACUCCUACGGGAGGCAGCAGUGAGGAAUCUUCCACAGUGGGCGAAAGCCUGAUGGAGCAACGCCGCGUGCAGGAUGAAGGCCCUCGGGUCGUAAACUGCUUUUGUUAGCGAAGAAUAUGACGGUAACUAACGAAUAAGGGUCGGCUAACUACGUGCCAGCCGCCGCAGUAA
rnacentral:rRNA from 1 species